rnacentral:sRNA from 1 species
CGUGCGCACGCGCCGAAUCCCGCAAGGGAACCGGGGAACCACCACCUUGGGGUGAAUCACGCGGAUGCCGUCGUGAACUGCUUGAGUCCACGACCGGUAUACGCGCGUAGGAGACCUUCCUGCUCCGAACCCGUCAGCUAACCCGGUAGGCGGAGGAAGGAAAGGAGUA